UGGUAAUUGCACCAAUUUACUUCGCUAAGGAAGUUGAUUUUGGUGUGUUUGGUCAGGCCAGUAUUGCAUUCUCUCAA
rnacentral:tRNA from 1 species